rnacentral:piRNA from 1 species
UAUCUGAUGAAUGUAUGGGGAAAAAUGC